CCCAAGACCACCUGUCGCCGCCUCCCAUACACCACCCGUUGUCCGACUGAUGCACGAGGGAGAACGGUGAUCAGAAUUAUGGGCCCCUAGCGUCGCAAACCCUAUCUCUCUCGUCUCGAUCUCACGCGAUGUCAGCGACGAGAGGCUGACUAUGGUGUCCGGGGAAGCGGUGCAAAUCGGCGAGCAGUGGAGAAGCGGUAAUUGUGCGGGAGGCGAUGAAGGAGGUUGGGACAGGGAGAUUCAGUUCUGAGGGGGCAACCGUUGUUUGUUGAGUCCUCUGCGCCGCCCCCGAGUUCAAUAUUUUUUUCUCUAUUCCUUUAUCUUCUCUCGAUCUCAGUCUGUUUUCAGGUGUAAACUAAGUUGCAUCAAAACAAGUCGAUGAUAUUGAAGAUCGGUAAACAACAUGCCAAUUGGAGAGAAUCAACUUUGUAGUCAUAAAUAGUUAUACGUACUCGUACAUAGCCAUAUAUAUAAGAUAUGUAUGUUUUUCUUUCUAAAAUACAGUGAUGCUGGUGGUUUUUAUUAAUUGAAAAAUGAUACAUGUGACUUUU
rnacentral:lncRNA from 1 species